rnacentral:rRNA from 1 species
AUUGAACGCUGGCGGCAGGCCUAACACAUGCAAGUCGAACGAAGUCUUCGGACUUAGUGGCGGACGGGUGAGUAACACGUGGGAACGUACCUUUUGGUUCGGAACAACUCAGGGAAACUUGAGCUAAUACCGGAUGAGCCCUUAGGGGGAAAGAUUUAUCGCCGAAAGAGCGGCCCGCGUUAGAUUAGCUAGUUGGUGAGGUAAAGGCUCACCAAGGCUACGAUCUAUAGCUGGUCUGAGAGGAUGAUCAGCCACACUGGGACUGAGACACGGCCCAGACUCCUACGGGAGGCAGCAGUGGGGAAUCUUGCGCAAUGGGCGAAAGCCUGACGCAGCCAUGCCGCGUGAAUGAUGGAGGUCUUAGGAUUGUAAAAUUCUUUUACCAGGGACGAUAAUGACGGUACCUGGAGAAAAAGCCCCGGCUAACUUCGUGCCAGCCGCCGCCGUAGUAA